GGUAUUCUCGUCUGCUGCUCGGCCUCCCUGUCUUCCUGAUGUUUUUUUUUUAAUGGUGACAUAUUAUCAGAGGUGGGUAGAGUAGCCAAAUAAUCAAAAGUAGUAAAAGUACUGUUACUUUAAGACUAUAAAUAUAAAAAAGUAUGCAGUGAAAAGUCUACUCAAGUACUCAAGAGUACAAGUACUGAGUUUCUCCGGAUUUAUUUUUUAAAUCUACAGGGCAACACAAACGGACACAACAAAAUAGACACAAACAAAAUAUAAAACAGCAAUGUUCAAAUAAAGAUUUGUUAAAUAACAUCCUUUUAAAUAAAACAAUUAAUAAGGUCUUUAAAAAUAAAACUAAUAACCCUUGAACUAAAACAAUAAAUUAAUUCUUUGCAAAAUUAAAUACAUCAACCUUUAAAUAAAAUUGUCAAAACCUGCUGGCAAACUCACUGAAUGUAUGAAACUACAGAGGCUGAAAAAAAGAGACCACUCGGACUAUCACACACCCAGACUCAGGGCAUGCAAAGUGAGUACAGGGAGAACAGGAAAGGUGUGUCACAGAAGAACAGUGUCUCUGUGAUUGUGAGUGUUUGGGAGUUUGUGUCAAUAGCUGCGUUUCCAACUAAAAGGUGAUGCGAAUCUUUAGAAAGUUCGCAAAAAAGUAAUUCGAAUUAGGUGCGUUUCCAUCAAGUGGUUGGAGCGGAAUAGGGUGAUGAUGUUACACGUUGAUGUCGGCAGGGUUGCUAUGGCCGGUCGUUAUGCGGAAAUCGGAAAGACUGUCAGUCCUGUGUGUUCAAAGUUCGCUACGUCACAGCUGUUUCGAAAAGUGUGUUUCCAUCUCCCAUUUUGCGAAUUUACUCU